rnacentral:tRNA from 1 species
UGCAACUUAGUUCAUUUAGAAUAACCAACCUGCACUUGGUAGGAGAGAUAUCUCAGUAGCGG